rnacentral:rRNA from 1 species
UACGGAGGGGGCUAGCGUUAUUCGGAAUUACUGGGCGUAAAGCGCACGUAGGCGGACCAGAAAGUAGGGGGUGAAAUCCCGGGGCUCAACCUCGGAACUGCCUUCUAAACUCCUGGUCUUGAGUUCGAGAGAGGUGAGUGGAAUUCCGAGUGUAGAGGUGAAAUUCGUAGAUAUUCGGAAGAACACCAGUGGCGAAGGCGGCUUACUGGCUCGAUACUGACGCUGAGGAGCGAAAGCGUGGGGAGCAAACAGG